rnacentral:siRNA from 1 species
UGCACAAACUUGUAGACUUGU